rnacentral:rRNA from 1 species
CCUACGGGAGGCUGCAGUGAGGAAUAUUGGUCAAUGGGCGCGAGCCUGAACCAGCCAAGUAGCGUGAAGGAUGACUGCCCUACGGGUUGUAAACUUCUUUUAUAAGGGAAUAAAGUCAGGCACGUGUCCCUGUUUGUAUGUACUUUAUGAAUAAGGAUCGGCUAACUCCGUGCCAGCAGCCGCGGUAAUACGGAGGAGGCGAGCGUUAUCCGGAUUUAUUGGGUUUAAAGGGAACGUAGGUGGUUUGUUAAGUCAGUUGUGAAAGUUUGGGGCUCAACCGUAAAAUUGCAAUUGAUACUGGCAGCCUUGAGUACAGGUGAGGUAGGCGGAAUUCGUGGUGUAGCGGUGAAAUGCUUAGAUAUCACGAAGAACUCCGAUUGCGAAGGCAGCUUACUA